rnacentral:rRNA from 1 species
GUGUCAGCAGCCGCGGUAAUACAGAGGGUGCGAGCGUUGUUCGGAAUUAUUGGGCGUAAAGCGCAUGUAGGCGGGUUGUUAAGUCGCGUGUGAAAGCCCCAGGCUCAACCUGGGAAGUGCGCGCGAAACUGGCGACCUUGAGUGCUGGAGAGGGUGGCGGAAUUCCCGGUGUAGAGGUGAAAUUCGUAGAUAUCGGGAGGAACACCAGAGGCGAAGGCGGCCACCUGGACAGACACUGACGCUGAGACGCGAAAGCGUGGGGAGCAAACAGGAUUAGAAACCCUCGUAGUCC